rnacentral:lncRNA from 1 species
CUUUGGGAGAGCUUUGGCUAUCUUUUUCUUUUCUCUCUCUUCUUUUUUUAGGUGGGUAGUAAAUACCCCUAAUUCUACUGUCAGACACUUGUCCAUUUUUUCCGCUCAAGUGGGCAUCUUUGUACCCCUAAUUCUACUCCAGAUACUUGUCCAUUUUUACCUCUCGUCUCACUCUUUUUCUUUCUUUUUCGAGGUUCCGGGCACUUGCCCCUUUUUAUUUCCUCGCAUAUUUUUGCAUAACUCAUGCCUCUUCUGCAUUGAAUCUUUUUGGAGAGAGAGAAUAACAACACUUGGGACAGUGAGUGAUAAUAUUUUUAGCAAUUUUAAUGAAUGGUGGUGGAUGGUGUAGUAGAUGUGUGCAAGUGAAUAUCUUGAUUUAACCACAUGAAAAGCUCCUAAGGGUCU